UGUUUGUAUAGUGUGUGUAUAUAAUGCAGUGUGUUUGUGUAGUGCGUUUAUAUAAUGCACACUGCACAAACACACUGCAUUGUAUACACACACUAUACAAAC